rnacentral:rRNA from 1 species
GACGAACGCUGGCGGCGUGCUUAACACAUGCAAGUCGAACGGAAAGGCCCUGCUUUUGUGGGGUGCUCGAUUGGCGAACGGGUGAGUAACACGUGAGUAACCUGCCCUUGACUUUGGGAUAACUUCAGGAAACUGGGGCUAAUAUCGGAUAGGAGCUCCUGCUGCAUGGUGGGGGUUGGAAAGUUUCGGCGGUUGGGGAUGGACUCGCGGCUUAUCAGCUUGUUUGUGGGGUAGGGGCUUACCAAGGCUUUGACGGGUAGCCGGCCUGAGAGGGUGACCGGCCACAUUGGGACUGAGAUACGGCCCAGACUCCUACGGGAGGCAGCAGUGGGGAAUAUUGCACAAUGGGCGGAAGCCUGAUGCAGCAACGCCGCGUGCGGAAUGACGGCCUUCGGGUUGUAAACCGCUUUCGCCUGUGACGAAGCGUGAGUGACGGUAAUGGGUAAAGAAGCCCCGGCUAACUACGUG